rnacentral:lncRNA from 1 species
GACUCAGACAGGCAGUGCUCAUCGCGGACAGGGCCUCCGACAUUUGACUGGCCUUGUAACUGGUGAGUCAUGAAUUCCCUGGGCUUUAGUUUCUUCAUUUGUAAAGGGAAGCUUUAUGGAGUCUUUGGGAGGAUUGAAUGAAAUAUGCAAAAACACUUUGUAAAUGACUGAUUCCUAAGCCCAAUAUUGAAUGCUUAGUACGUGACAAUCUCUGCGCUGAGAAUUCCACAUGCCUCACUUCAGCUCAUCUGAGUGUCAGCGCUACAUAGGGAAGUUCUCGGGGCUCAUCCCACAUUCAAAGUCCUUUUCCCUCUUUGAAAUCUCAAUAUGGGGCUAUUGCAUUUAUCUAGAAAACACUUAAGCAAUAGUUAAACCUUUUAUUUUGAAGAAUAAGAAACUUGGCUAAGAUAGGUUACUUACUUACCUAUGGCCACACAGCUAGCACAUGCAAAGCCUGGGAUUAAACCAGGUCUAUCUGACUUCAAACUUUUAAUCACGAUCCAAUUUUUUGUUGCAGAAUUCCUUUAAGAGCUCUAAAUUAAUAAGUGGUGAGAUGGCAUGAAAACUCUUUAUUCUUUUCCUUUUCCACAAGCAUUUUGAGAAAUCAAAAUGGUAAUGUACAUUACGAUAUUUGGAAAGCCAUAAAGGGCUAAACAAGAGUAGGUUACAUCAGUCAAUCACUACUCACCCACAAUAAAGGGGUGGCUAUGUUGUUUAUACGA